AGCCCGUUUCCUCUCCGCUUUGGUCGGCAUACAGUGAAGUGCAUACGGCGCAGCACACGGACACUCAUUUCUGCUCUUUUGGUGCUCGACACAGAUGUUCUCUUGGAAACUCUUCAGCUUUUUCGAGUUGUUGUGACAACCAGAAAGCUAAUACGACAGGCAGAGGAUGCUAAACCUGACGGCCAAAUUCCCUCUCCUCACCUCUUACGACAAAGACAAUGAACAUCUUGGCAGACCACCAAAAUCUGCUUCACCUCCGGCAGACUCUGAGCCCUGUCUCUGGGCAGAGGAUGGUCCAAGAAAAGAGGGGGGCGAAUAAAGGGACAAGAGCUGCCACCCUAAUCUCUCGGAAAGAGGCUUGUUCUGCGCGGGUUUAUCCCGUCGAGAGCCCAUGUCUGGCCUCCUGGUGGCUGAGGUGCCUUGGCCCUGAUCCCGGGUCAGUGUGGCUGGGCAGAUUUCAGUAGGUGCACUGGAGCGCAUUGGAGCAGAGCUUGAGCUGACAGUUAAAGGAAAACAAUGGGAAGCAGGGCUGCCACCAUAGAAGCCUGAUGUGUGUGUGUGUGUGUGUGUGUUUAGUGGAUUCCUUCUCAAGGUAAUGAACGCUUUCUGCCUUAGCGAAACUCACUGUUUGUGGCACUGUUAUAAAAAGUAUACAAGAGUUCUUCUGAUACAAUAUCAUUCAUAACUUCUUGAUUUAAUAGCUAAUUCGUAUCAAUUUGUACAUUUCAGUAUGAUUUGCUCAUCUCCUAAUGAAGGCUAGGUUUAGGAGUGGGGUUUAGAGGCACGUCUCCUUUUAAAUAUCCUACAUUUUCAUUCAAAUGAAAUGUCCGAAUUAACCAAUUUAUAAAUGUGUUUUCCUGUGAAUUUGAGCUGGUUCUUCAUUGGGAUCAGAGCUGAGUAGAUUACUUGUGAAUUGUAAUCCGUUACAGAUUACAAAUGACAUGACACAAUUUUAUAAUACAAUAUUAAAUGUAGCACACUGUAAAAAAAACACGGAAUUUUACUUUUUUUUCCCGGCAAAAAAAAAAAAAAAGUAAAAUAACGGUGGUUAAA